CAGCGAAUAGAAGAUCAAUACACAAAGACACCGGUUUUACCAAAAAAAAAAACACGUAUCUAAUAAUCGAUGUGUCAACCAUUUCGUAUUUCUAAAUGUAGCUGACACAAUUGAAAAAUAAAGAGCCAGAAAGGCCAUAACACUCUCCAACAUAUCUUGAAACGAAUGGAUCAAAAACUUGGAAAUUAGAAUCAAUGCAAAAAUUCUAUAUCAUGACAAUGAACAAGAAAUCCAACCAAUUCUAACAACUCAGCGGACACUUCCGAGAGGAGAUAACACCAAUACAUACCCCGGACUUCAAACUUUUGACGACUAAGAGUAAACAUGUGCUGAAGAAUCAGACCCCGACCACAUAAUACUAAAGCAAGGAAGACGCCAAGUCAGACCCAAACAAAUUUAUUACUUUAUAUCAAUGAACAUUGUUGAAAGACAAUCCCUGUAUAACAAUUAACAGUAAAAAAAACCAACAAUCAUCCACCAAAUAUUAGAAUGCAUCAGAACAGCUACUCACUGAAACAAUUAAGAAGACAACAUAAUUUAUUCAUGACAAAACAUCAGAAGGAUUCAAAGCGGCACUUGUGUAAUGACCAUUACUUAUUGCGCUCUACAACUAGGUUCAAUAUAACCCUAGAUAUUCUGCAACGUACCUCUACAGAUAUAGAUACAGAAUUGCAUUAUAUAAACAUUAUGCAUAAGGACAUGUCUGCGGGGACACCACCGUAUUUGUAAUGGAGGUAAAUAGCAACAUCGGGGCCACUGAAAAUAGAGGUAGCAUGAGUGUUCAUAGAUCCAUUAAAAAUAUGUAUCAGAAGGAAGACGUAGAUACUUUUCCCGACUGAAUUAAGGCAGUUAGUUCAAGAAUAUGGAUUUGGACUCGCGCUAUUUCGGCUCUAUAAUGAACACUUUUCGUAGUCAAGUGUUGUUGACAAUAUUAAGAUCAACAGUUAUAACGUGGUCAGUAAGAUUGAAUAUGAAUACGGGAUUUGCACAGGUGCAAUCAGAAGGUUAAGAAUGCUCUCAUCAAUAUUGGGAUCCUGCAACACAUGUUUGUAGUUUUUAUUAGUAAUUUUAGUCGCAACAUGUGAGGUAUAGGUAUAAGAGAUGAUUUUAACUGACCGAUCUUUAGAGUUGUGAUGAAGGAUAUUGCCUAAAUUGGUGGCAAAAAACCUUUGUUGGCAAAUGCGAGUUUGAGAAAGGGUUGUUUUGUUGUUUCAUCUUUAUCAGUGUCAAUCGGUUUGAACGAUUUGUGAUGGGAAAUAAACGAAAUGAUGGCUGUAUUUUGUUCUAGUUCUAGUUAGAAUGAGUGUUUCCAAACAUAAUUUGUACAAAGAAAUAUCUUUUGAAAAUAUGAAAAUAGCUUCAGGUGGAUGUGACCUUACGUACAAAUGAUAAAUGGUCAAUUAUACAGACAUCAUGAAGAAUGUGUGAUGUAUAAUGAGAUGACAAAUGCGUGUUGAAAUAUUACAGAGGUACCAGAAGGGUUAGGAACUCAUGCAUACAGAGUGCAUUUUUCAUGACAUGAUUUAUUUAAAAGCCAAUUGCGUGCAUACACUAUUAAUUGUUGGAUUUUUAUCAUAUGUUUGGCAUUGUGUUGAAUUAGUAAAUAUUGUUUCAGUA